AGUAAAAGUUCAAAUCAAUUAUACUUUUUCUCUGCAUAAGGCUCUAUUUUUUGUUAAAUUAAACUUUUAUUAAAACAUGGCACAAAGGACCAAACAUGCUGCCUAAUACAAAUGGCAUUGGCAGUCACAUCUCUCCCUUAAAAUGAUAAAAUGAGCAGGAAGCGUUCAGGGCAAAGGCUGUUUUACUAUGAAAGGUUCCUUCAAGUGAAAAUAGAUUCAUACUAAAUGCCUUUCUCUGUGUUACAACAAAAAGUUCAAUGAGAGGAGAAGUCCUUCGUGUUGUUUAGACUGGGAAAAAAAAUCAGAUAUUCAUGAUUGCUGGAUCAUGCGAGAAAAUGCUGUUUAAUAAGGUUCUGAACUUCAUCAAGACACGCAGUGGGGUGCCAUUAUCUUCAUCCAGAAAGCCUUGCAGUGCCUCAGUGGUUGAUGGGAUUAAGGAACAAAGAGAAUCAUGGGAUUAGUUGUUUACGGUAGAGGUGGAGUCGUCUGGGAGGCAAGCAUUUUGUUUACCUUUUGUCUUUAUUCUUGAUUUGAUUUCCUUAGCCCAGUGUUGCAACUCCCUGCAGGUGGAAAGGGGGGGGCUGAUAUCUUGUUUGGCUCCUGACAGCAUCACUCGGAGAAGAAAAUGAAAAGAGAUCAGGAUAACAACGAGUCGUGCAUUCACACACCCCUUCCCGCUGGCCUGUCCACCCCAUGCUGUUCAUAGGGCAAUUCAGGCCCUGCAAUUUAGGCCCAACUUAAAGUGGAAGAAAAAGCCUUAAAUAUGGAGGUAAAGAGAGCACGGGUAAGAGCUGGGGAAACCUGCGGUGUGAUUUGUCGAACAAUGGGGGACACAUCAUUUUCAGACAUCAGCAGGGAAGUGAGGGUAGUGCUGGAUUUGACUGAACUGGAUUUCCUUUGGGGUUUCCACAGUAACAUAGCUCAAAAAACAACAAAUGGAUGCAGACAGAUGGUACUCCCUGCAUUGCUGUCAGGCACAAUUCCAAAGGUAAUGUACCAGCACACUUUGUCAGUUACUCUCAGUCAAACUUUGACCUCUGGCGAAAGGGCACUUUUUACUUGUUUAGCACCCUGCUGCUUCUUUUCAGUAUGCUAGUAGAGUUUCUGUGCAGUUUAAUUAAGCAUAUUGAGUUUGCAUCAGCAGCAGGCUGAUGUAUAUCAAGCUGGAUACGCACACACUCACAUAAAUAUGCACUCACAGACGGACACACACACACAUGCACAUUCCCUUGCUGCUGAGUUACUUCUAUCCAUCCCAGCUGACAGCUUGUUAAUUGCCCGGGGGUUAACUGGAAGUGGUUGUGUAAUUGCAUCGGAAUCUCCAUUUACCCCGGCCUUUAUUUAUUUACCCAGCUGUAGAUUUUAAAACUGCAUUAAGCAUCUGAGAGAGUUGGGACAAAGUGGGCAUCGGUAGUUUUGGCUUCAGUUCAGAUUUGUUCCCAGAAACCUGCAGAAAUCUCAGUUACGUCUCACACGAAAACAGUUUUUAAACUGUGAUUGAAUGAAAUAUUGAGUGGAAUGUUGAGGAAAUAUUUUAUGACCUUUGAUUAAAAAAUAAUUCAAAUGUGUGGCCGCAAAGAUCUUGAAGGCAUAAUAGUCUUUUGUUCUUGAACCCCUAUAACGUGUCAGAAAAGAGACGAAUGAUCCUGUACAUCGCAGUUUUAGUGUCAAUGUUUUUACCUCUAUUUUGAAAUCUAUUAAAUAUUGCAACUUAUGAGACCUUGAUGCUUGAAUGGAUGGCAUUUUAUGACUGCACCAACCUUUUUUUCUCCCCCUUCCCUUUCUUUUUUUCUUUCAGUCAUGACCUCAGGGAAACAGCAAAGCAAGAAGGCCUUGAUAAUCAAAUUUAUCCUACAGGGAAGCAACUUAAAAGCUCUGCUAGCGACUAGCAGUUAGUUCAAGGCUUUGAUAAAGGAAAAGGUCUAGACACUUAAAUACCUACUGUAUGAAACACACUUUAGAAAAAUGUCAUUCCCUUCGUUCAUCUGACCACGGGAGUUAGGAAAAAUGAUUUGAUUAACUGAAAAUUGUGGGACCAGUUUAAGUGACUUCCAUUUUUUUUUCUGACAGUGAUGGGUUUCUUUGUCUGUUCAUGCACGUGUGCCGCUUCAUGUGUUUGCUCACAAUGAACAGCAGAACGACACAGGGUGAAGAGAGUUGGGAAAUGGGAUAUAUUCCCAGAAGCAAUCCACAUCUACAGCCUGAUGCCUCUUGCCUCUUAUCUGCCCAGCUGCCUACUGCCCUGUCUGCAUACACAGAAGCGCAUGCACACACUCACUCCCUGACUCACUCACUCCUCUGAGCCCAUCCAUCCAUCUCCUUGACAUGAUUGUUCCUCUCUUGUUACUUUAUGUUCUAAUCCAUCAGCUCUGAGUAAAAACGGCAAUUACAUCUAGCUAUUGAUGCACCCAACAGACAGAGGCAGAAUUACGGCAUGGUGCAUUACUGCAAAUUGCUAUUAAAGUUCCUUUUUUCUACUAAAGCAAAGAGAGCUUUAGUAGAAGCUUUAGUGGUAAGGAGUAAUGGAGACUCAUAAUAAGACAGAUCAUUAGAAUAGAUCUAGUCAUCUCUUGGGUUUUAAUUGCAACCUGCACCCUUUCCAUACAUGAUAGUGUUUGACUUGUGGUUUCCCCUUUUUGCCCACAUUAAAAUAGGAGCCCCUCGCCAUGUUAAACUCAGCUUUUAUCAUAUUUUCCUUAUUCGGACCCACAAAUGUUCUCCUGGUGCUUCAACAAUGUUUGUUGGAGUCCAACAUCACUGAUUUGCAGGGUCAUUUUUGAUGGUCGACCAACUUCCCAUUAAUAGAUGUCUUUUAGGGGUGUAUCAUCUAAUCAACUUUAAAAAACCCACCCAUGCACGGGGAGAACAUGCAAACUCCACACAGAAAGGUCCCCCAUUGAUGUUUUGUUUCAGUUUCCCCUUCUUGCUGUGAGGCAAAAGCGCUAACCACUGCGCCACCAUGCAGCAGAUGUAACUUUUUUGACAAAAAUAUGUGUUGUACAUAUUGAUUUUCUUCCAAGAAAUACAAGGUAUCUGGAAAGAUUUACCUGCAAUUUUCAGAACCCAGGUAUUUAUCUUUGAAUCGCAAUGGUUGAAUUUAUUGGCUAUACGAGGUCCAGGAUCAAUUUUAGGUCAGUGAAUCGGAUUGACUAAAUCGUAUGGUCAACAAAAAUAUGAUUUGAAUCGAAUUGUUGUUAUGAUGCAUUUAGAAACAGGGUCAAACACUAUUGCUCGUUGUGAGCAAAUAAAAUAAGAGACAGUUUACACAUAUGUAGAGAAUAUAUGAAUCUAUACAAGUUAAAAGGCUCUGUUCUAAAAAAGGCUAAUGAGGAUGGAUGGAGGAAAAGGUGAGGUGAUGAGUGGUGUCCUGUGAGCUAGUGCCUGAGAAAAUAGAUGGCGUGUGGGUAGGUGGAGCUGUCCUUGGUGCGGUCCUGAUUGUGUAUGAGCUUGGUGCUCAGCAGGACAGAUGGUGCUCGUGGGCAGAUGAGUGAAUAAUGAUAUUUUGCCACAGUGCAGUAAUUACUUGCGUCUGCGCCCUCUGUGGUCUGCAUGCAUGCAUGAGUAUAGAUUCCAGCAAAUUUGUCCAUUCAGUCGUCAAAUUCUCUAAUGCACAGUAAAGAUUCAAAUUUGGAUACUUAAAAGGAUAUGAACUCAUAGAAAAAGUGUUUUCAUUUAUCCCGCUGAUUAAGGGACACAUUUGUCAAGGCUUUUCAUUGUAUGUAAAAACAGAAAAGGGGAAAAAAUGAGAUCAUGCCAAAUCUCUGCUCUCUACUAACAAAUGUUUUUUUAGUUGUUAUCAAUCGGUUGUUAAUUUUUUAGAUUAUUAAAAAUUUAUAUUUGUUGUAAAAGCAUCAGUUCAGUUUGGAUUUGGUAUUUUUAUAGUUUUUAACCCAGCUGAAUACUUUUGAGGCUUCAGGUCACAAAGACCUUGUCCGAGGCUGCAUCAAACGAAUCAACACACAGUCCUCUUCAAUUUCUAUUUUUAACAUUCCAUCUCUCAGUCAGAGGCUCCCAUCUGAAAGUGUAAUAAUACAUUGGAGCAGAGCAAAGCAGACCUUUUAAUUUGGCAGGAACUGGCUUGUUAUGAUAAAUGAGGACCCUGAUGAUGUGGAUGGCGAACUGAAAGGAAUAAGCAGAAAACCAUAACAGCCACCAAUCACACAUUUCCUGUCCCUUUUUUUUUUAAAAGAAGUUUUACAUUUUGCUAAAAUUGAUUGUAAGUCGUCAGCUUUUUCAAAUGCUUUUUGGAAAUGAUCCAUGCACAUGAAGCUCUGAACCGGUGUUCAAAAGAAAAUGCUGACUUCUAUUGUCUCUGUCCUUCACACGUAAGGUAAAGAAUAGUUUCCAGAUAUUACAGAAACCUGAGAUAUAGCAAACCCAGAGGUUAAACAAGACAAAACAAGGUAUUUCUAUCUUUGUCCAAAUGCCAUCAGUUUCAAGGCUGCAGUAGUCUAACAUUUUAGUUCAGUUUUUUUGUAGCUUUCCUAACUAACAUAUAGACUUGUUUGUCAAGUGCAUCUCUACAACAUUUUCUUUUGAACAAAUGGCUUCUUUAGAAAACAAAUGUUUGCUAGAAGCCUGAAGUCUCUUCAAACAAAAACAAAAAUAUUGUGUAUAUUUUAGUACUAUAAAGUAACCAAACCAUUAGUGAAUAGUAAUAACUGCACUCUCUUAUCUAAACUCUUUAGCUAACUUGUUAAAAGUCUGUCAGUGCUUCAAAAACACCCCAAACAGGCUGCUAUUGCUUCGUUUGGCCACUAGAUGCUCCCGCUCUUCAGACUGAAGCCUCAAAGCUUUGAAUCAUUUCUGAACAAAACAGAGAUGAAAGCCUCGGAGACUUUUACCACUGAAAUGGUGUAACUCUUCUAAAUUAUGAAUCUAAUCUUUUUUUUUUGUUUCUUCUUCAUUUUCUUUUUCAUGUAUACUUAAUUUCCAGUGGAACGCUUCACGUUGCAUCUAUGUUUCAAUAGUUUAUCUUCUACUCAGUCAGUCAGUCAGUCAGUCAGUCAGUCAGUCAGUCAGUCAGUCAGUCANNNNNNNNNNUCUUCUACCAUUUAUUCCCUUUCAGGGACACGAAAAAAAAAAAACAAGUCCAGAUGACAUCCCCUGAACCUACUACACUUGUUUCAAUAGUACUCUUGUACAAUCUAUAGUCAAUAGUACUCUAGUAAAUAAGUCGGGUAUUUAAAGUGUAUUUUUACAUCAGGGCAUGAUAAUGUUAUUUAUAAAAUUCUUAGUAAUUUUUUUUAAUUAAUUGAGUUAAGAGCAUGAAUUACUUUUUUCAGCUUCUUGCUUGGCUACAUUCACUGUGUGAUAACU
ensembl:lncRNA